AACGAACGCCGGCGGCAUGCCUAACACAUGCAAGUCGAACGAGACCUUCGGGUCUAGUGGCGCACGGGUGCGUAACGCGUGGGAACCUGCCCUUAGGUUCGGAAUAACUCCCCGAAAGGGGUGCUAAUACCGGAUAAUGUCUUCGGACCAAAGAUUUAUCGCCUUUGGAUGGGCCCGCGUUGGAUUAGCUAGUUGGUAGGGUAAAAGCCUACCAAGGCGACGAUCCAUAGCUGGUCUGAGAGGAUGAUCAGCCACACUGGGACUGAGACACGGCCCAGACUCCUACGGGAGGCAGCAGUGGGGAAUAUUGGACAAUGGGCGAAAGCCUGAUCCAGCAAUGCCGCGUGAGUGAUGAGGGCCUUAGGGUUGUAAAGCUCUUUUACCCGGGAUGAUAAUGACAGUACCGGGAGAAUAAGCUCCGGCUAACUCCGUG
rnacentral:rRNA from 1 species